rnacentral:ncRNA from 2 species
UUAAUCGGAAUAGCGCCUGAGCAGUACACGCGUACUGUUGACGAGGAGGACAGCGAUCGAACUUUCGGCGGAUGCUGUCCCGGAUACUGAAGUAUUCGUAAGUGUAUCUGUUAAAAUUUCCGGGCAACCGGACUGACAAAGCAGAUAUCCCACAGAACU